rnacentral:tRNA from 1 species
UAGGUGGAUGCUCGCUGGCUAGAGCGCUUAGCUGUUAACUAUGAUUUCGAGGGAUCGAAGCCCUCCCACCUAU